GCCAGAGAAUGUGCUGAAUCGUGUUUCUUCACCCUCAAGAAGUUUCCUAUGGAGAAAAGCAAUAAACAUAAGGAUGGUGGAUUGUGAGUAGGAAUAGAAUAAUCUGAAGCACACCCUAGGAUGUCCUGCUUCCUGUGUGUCGCUCCUCCGCUGCCCCGUGUGACUGCCAGUACCUAGCCACCGUAUCUUCUCUUGCCUCUAUACUGUGUCACUAUACUAUGUUGGUGUGACUAUUGGACGAAACCGAUGUUGCUGUGACUUCGGACGGAACCAAUGUUGAUUGCAAGAGUCAAUGUGAAUUGACGGAGCCGGGAGAGCAAGAUGGAGCAGCAAUGAAUCUCACUGGAGUCAAAGAACUGGAGCACUCUUUCCCACGUAGCUAAGGCUGUGAACACAGGCCUGACGUAAAAGGUCCCUUAGGCCACUUGGAUCUAGCAUCUACCGUGAACACAGUGGCACUGGCAACCUGAGACUUCCUGUCUUUCCCCUUUUAUCAUCCCUGGCCAGCAGGGAUUGCCUGUGGAAGUCAGCUCCGGAUUGGCAGAGCUCUGAUCAGCUGACUCAGAUCAAGAUGGCAAUGUGCAUGUCCUGGAGUACAUGGGAGAUGCCAAACCCCAACACUACCACCAUGCUCCUGCCCCCUCAAGCAGUGCUCUGUAUACUCCAAUGAACCGCGGACUGCUGGGACCCUGCUGGACCCCUGAUGCGACAGAAUCUUAGGGCCCGUAGUUAUGAGUAAUGGAGACCCCGCUUGUCCCACCUGCGGCCUGUGACAUAUUAUUAUUAUUACUAGAGAAAGCUAAAAUAUUUUUUGUAUUACUUUGUUUGUUUAUGGCAAAGUGAAAUCGGAUGCGGUUAAUUUACUGUCUGUCGGGAUCCCAGCGGUCAGGAUACCGACGCUGGAAUCCAGACAUCCGGGGAAAUGCUGGCAUUCAGAAUCCCGACCGGAGCCCAGGUAUUCCCACUCGGGUGGUGGUCCACGCCACCACCCAAGGGGGAAUAAAAUAGUGUGGCAAAUGAAGCUCGCCACCGGGACCGAUGCCGGCUUUCCGGCGUUGGUCUCCUGACUGCCAGGAUCCUGACCGCCGGUAAAUCAUAACGAACCCAGCAAAACUGUUCCUUUGAAAAGUCAACCCUUUGUACCCUGAAAUCGC